rnacentral:lncRNA from 1 species
GGACACCUUUCUUGAACUGGGAUUCUCUUUUCAGCUUUGGUGAUAAAUCCAAUAGGGUUAUUAUUGCUGUUAGUAUUAAUCUUCUCUUUCUCUUCUUUGGCACCACUGAAAGAUAUUGUUGUUACAUCCUGAGAAGCCUCAUUGAGUGGUCUGUGAGUUGCUGGAUCAAUACCUCUGCUCAAUAGCUUCCUUCUUAUAUGCGUGUUCCAGUAAUUCUUUAUCUCAUUAUCUGUUCUUCCUGGUAAUCUCCCAGCUAUAAGAGACCACCUAUAAAAUUCAAGGAAUCCCCCAUAAAAAACCAAUCAAAAUUUCAAGCACCACACACUAACAAAGUUGAAUAUAUCAUCUAUCUAUAUAUAUACAACACUUACUUGUUACCAAGAAGGCUGUGCAGCUUGAUAAUGAGCUCAUCUUCUUCUUCAGUGAAAUUGCCACGUUUAAGAUCAGGUCUUAAGUAAUUGAUCCAACGAAGUCUACAACUUUUGCCACAGCGGAGAAGGCCAGCAGCUUUAGGGAGUGAACGCCAGCAACCUUCACCAUGGGCUCGGAUGUAAGCUAUGAGGCGAUCAUCUUCUUCUUUAGUCCACGCACCUUU